rnacentral:lncRNA from 1 species
ACUCAAACCUCUCACAGAUCUAUUUCUUCAGAGAAACACCUGCCCACUCGGCACUGUGGGGAGAGAAUUUGUCCGCUGUGCGUCGGAAAGGAGAAGGAAAGCUGCGGCCCUCAGCCAGCUGUCCUUUAAAAAGUGGGUCUCCUUUUCAAGCUUUCUGGGACAAGCCCCACCAGUGCACGACAAACAGCUUUUUAUGCUAUUAUUUAAUAUUUUCUAAUGCUUUUCCAACUUUGUUUUUCAUACAGGUUAAUCACUGUAGGCAACAACUAAUUUUUCUCAUGGCUGAUCCUUCAAAAUAUACAUGGGGAAAACUGGAAAGUGCAGCAGACUGUGGAAAUCUACUUCUCUGGACAGAGCCUUCUGACAGUUCCACAAUGAAGACAAACGCAUACGCAGAGAGAGAUGUCAGAGUGGAAAAGCUCCUGAAAUGAGACCUAUCAGCUAACUG